GUGCGUGUGUGUCAAGCUGUUGGUGUAGACGCGUAGGUAGUGGGAGCAGUAGUCGUGGCCGUUGGACGCCGGCCGCAUCGUGCGUGUAUGAGCGCGUUGUGCGCAGCGGCCUGGGCGGACGGAUCGCGAGCUAGGUGGGCAGUCGUGUGUGCGUGCGCAUGUGCUUAGCCUGGGUAUAAAUAGCCCCAUGUACUGAUCGUUGUGGAUCGAAGUGAGCCAUAUAGCCAUUGCAAAAAGAAAAAGAUUGGGGCGUUCAUGUGCCCACGACGGCGUUUGUGCGCCGGCCCGAGAGAAGAUUAGGGUGUCUGUGCCGCCCACGGCGGCGUUCGUGCGCCGGCUGAGACAACUUUGUGUCUCAUGUUCUUCUUCUUCCACCUCUGUUCGAGUGAGAGGAGAGGUAGCUAGAGGUCUUCGGUUUCAACAAUCGGUAUUCAGAGCCAAGUUCGAGGGGCGGCCGCGGCGAGCGGCGUUGUCCGCGGAGCGCGCAGCGGACCUAUGUGGCGUGCGGAGAGCGCGGUGGCGCGAGGCACGGAGGUGCAGCACGGCCGCGCACGAAGCUGCGGGUUUCGGCAGCGGCAGCGAGUGGCUCUCGACGGGGCGCAGCGCGGCGAUAGCUGCAUCGGCGGCGGUGCGCGACAACGGCCGUCGAGGUGGACGCGUUGCACGACAUCUGCAGCGGCUCGUGCUGGAAGCACACGGUGGCGUCGGGCGGCAGCAACCAUGGCGACGAGCUUGUCGCGUCGGGCGCAUGUAUGGGCGCGCGCCGAGCGCGCUGGGCGCGUCGGGUCCACGGCGGGUCGUGCGUGUGCGUGCAUGUGGUGUGCACGGGUGUGUGUUCUGUUGGCGAGAUCAGGGGGAGCGUGGAGUUGGUCCUAGGCGGGCUCGCACGACCCGGACGUGUGCGUGCAUGUCGUGGGAGUGGGCAGAGCGGGCCGGACCAGGCGCUCGGUGUGAACUGGGGCGUGGGGUACGUGCCCUGGCGCGCCCCAGGGUAUAAGAACCCCCCGUAUGCGUUGUAACAGGUGUGGCUCGAGUUCGUGCUUGAGGAAAUCGUCCGUUGUUGCGGCUGGGGGCGUCAAUGCGCCGGGAAGAGAAGUUACGGCGUGUGUCAUCGGAGCUUGGCGUUUGUCGCCAAGGAAGAAGAUGGAGUCCACGUCAAACUUGGUGGUGGUCGUGGUGGCGGCCAUGACAAAGACGAUGACUGGAGCUGCAACAACUCCGGCAACGGCAACGGGUGUCAAGAUUAGGGUGAAAAUUGUUAGCACUAAUCUUGUUAGUUAGGUGUGUGCGUGUGUGUCAAGCCGUAGACGGAGUGCUUGUUAGUUAGGUGUGUGCGUGUGUGUCAAGCCGUUGGCGUAGACGCAUAGGUAGUGGGAGCAAUACUCGUGGCCAUUGGACGCCGGCCGCGUCGUGCGUGUAUGAGCGCGUCGGCCGGCCGCGUCGUGCGUGUAUGAGCGCGUCGGCCUGGGCGGACGAAUCGCGAGCUAGGUGGGCAGUCGUGUGUGCGUGCGCAUGUGCUUAGCCUGGGUAUAAAUACCCCCAUGUACUGAUCGUUGUGGAUUGAAGUGUGAAGUGAGCCAUGUAGCCAUUGCAAAGAGAAAAAGAUUGGGGGCGGCAUUCGUGCGCGGGCCCGAGAGAAGAUUAGGGCGUCUGUGCGCCCACAACAGCGUCCGUGCGCCGGCCUGGGAAAACUUUGCGUCUCGUGUUCUUCCACCUCCGUUUGAGUGAGAGGUGAGGUAGCUAAAGGGCUUCGAUUCUAGCAGACUCUUUUAGAGUGUGGUUUUCAGCCAAAACCAUCCGUAUUGAUACGAUUAUUAUGGUGAUCCGGGCAGUUGACGACUCUGCUAGAGUUGGUCUAACACUAGACAUAAGAGGCCGCAGUCGCAGAAAUCCUAAAACCACGAAGGCUUAUUUUCCUCAACUAGUAGAAUAUAUUUUACAGAGCAAGUUCGGCAG
rnacentral:lncRNA from 1 species